rnacentral:lncRNA from 1 species
UGAAUAACAUUUCUGUAUAUAUACAAAUUGACAACGUUCCCCCUUGUGAUACGCUAAUCGUACAAGACUAUUUUAAGGAUCUACUUUGCUGUAGCUCACCAUCCCUAGUUUAGUCGUAUAUUUUCAAAAUAUUGUCUGUUAUUAUAUUUGCACGACAAAAUGGAAAACGAUAUAAUAUCAAUGGGUGUACAUGCAUUGGCAUUUUUAAAAAUGUGUAUUUAUUAAACCUCAUUAAAAGGAAUCACAGAAAUAAAAAAAAAUCGUUUGUCUUAUAGUUGGAGGCUGUGCACCGCAUUUUUUUUCAUUAUACUUGUAAGGUGUCAUUUAAUCGCGCUUUUGUUGCAUGGUUUCCCCACUUGUUCAUGUGCAUGUCUUGUUGCAAAUUCAUUUUAGAAAUUAAAUCCUCUACUGUAAAAAAAAAUACAUAUGGUGAACUAUGCAUUUGAAGCACAUUUUAGUUUCUUCUACUUAUAGGAUAAUACUCUCAUAUUAAUACGUUUAUACCGACACGAUUAACUUCAUUGGAUACCAAAAGGUAGUUAUAUAAAUACGGAUAUUUCUUAGAAAUGACGG